rnacentral:rRNA from 1 species
UACGGGGGGAGCAAGCGUUGUUCGGAUUUACUGGGCGUAAAGGGCGCGUAGGCGGCCACCGCAAGUCGACUGUGAAAUCUCCGGGCUUAACCCGGAAAGGUCAGCCGAUACUGCGGGGCUAGAGUGCAGAAGGGGCAACUGGAAUUCUCGGUGUAGCGGUGAAAUGCGUAGAUAUCGGGAGGAACACCGGUGGCGAAGGCGGGUCUCUGGGCAUCUCCUGACGCUGAGGCGCGAAAGCGUGGGGAGCAAACGGG